GGGUGCGCAGGGCAUAGGGCGCUGCGUAGGUUUUCGCCAAACGGAUGGUCGGGCCGCCAUCC
rnacentral:ncRNA from 2 species